rnacentral:piRNA from 1 species
UAGAGAUUUUAUAUUGUUCAUUCUUUGGGC